GAACGAACGCUGGCGGCAUGCCUAACACAUGCAAGUCGAACGAGACCUUCGGGUCUAGUGGCGCCCGGGUGCGUAACGCGUGGGAACCUGCCCUUAGGUUCGGAAUAACUCCCCGAAAGGGGUGCCAAUACCGGAUAAUGUCUUCGGACCAAAGAUUUAUCGCCUUUGGAUGGGCCCGCGUUGGAUUAGCUAGUUGGUAGGGUAAAAGCCUACCAAGGCGACGAUCCAUAGCUGGUCUGAGAGGAUGAUCAGCCACACUGGGACUGAGACACGGCCCAGACUCCUACGGGAGGCAGCAGUGGGGAAUAUUGGACAAUGGGCGAAAGCCUGAUCCAGCAAUGCCGCGUGAGUGAUGAAGGCCUUAGGGUUGUAAAGCUCUUUUACCCGGGAUGAUAAUGACAGUACCGGGAGAAUAAGCUCCGGCUAACUCCGUG
rnacentral:rRNA from 1 species